rnacentral:rRNA from 1 species
UACGUAGGGACCGAGCGUUGUCCGGAAUCAUUGGGCGUAAAGGGUGCGUAGGUGGGUAGGUAAGUCAGUGGUGAAAUCUUCGAGCUUAACUCGGAAACUGCCAUUGAUACUAUCUGUCUUGAAUACUUUGGAGGUAAGCGGAAUAUGUCAUGUAGCGGUGAAAUGCUUAGAUAUGACAUAGAACACCAAUUGCGAAGGCAGCUUACUACACAGUCAUUGACACUGAGGCACGAAAGCGUGGGGAUCAAACAGG